rnacentral:lncRNA from 1 species
UGUGAGCUUCAGUGCUGUAAGCAGAAUUGACAGAUCCUGCUUUAAGGAAAAAUGGGCCCCUCAUCUGUUGAAUUCAGCCUGGCACCAUUUUGUUACCAAACCCGUUACUCCAUC